UGAAAGCGGAGAAGAGCUCAAAUUUAAAAUCUGGCAGUGGUUCACUGCCCGAGUUGUAAUCUAGAGAAGUGUUGCUCACACUGGACCAUGUAUAAGUCUUCUGGAAUGAAGCGUCAUAGAGGGUGAGAAUCCCGUCUUUGACAUGGACUCCCAGUGUAUUUGUAGCAUGCUCUCAAAGAGUCGAGUUGUUUGGGAAUGCAGCUCUAAAUGGGUGGUAACCUCCAUCUAAAGCUAAAUAUUGGCGAGAGACCGAUAGUGAACAAGUACCGUGAGGGAAAGAUGAAAAGAACUUUGGAAAGAGAGUUAAAAAGUACGUGAAAUUGUUGAAAGGGAAACGCUUGAAGUCAGUCACAUUGGCCAGGGAUCAACCCAAGCUUUUUUGCUUAAGUGUACUUCCUGGCUGAUGGGCCAACAUCAGCUUUGACUGUCAGAGAAGGGUAGGGGGAAUGUGGCACCCUUCUUGGGUGUGUUAUAGCCCUCUGUCAUAUAUGGCCGUUGGGGCUGAGGAAUGCAGCGCGCCACAAAGGCCGGGUUUCGACCACGUUUCGCGCUUAGGAUGUUGGCAUAAUGGCUUUAAUCGACCCGUCUUGAAACACGGACCAAGGAGUCUAACAUGCCUGCGAGUGUUUGGGUGGAAAACCCGAGUGCAUAAUGAAAGUGAAAGUUGAGAUCCCUGUCAUGGGGUGCAUCGACGCCCGGACCUGAGCUUUUCUAGCAAUGGCUCUGCGGUAUAGCAUGUAUGUUGGGACCCGAAAGAUGGUGAACUAUGCCUGAAUAGGGCGAAGCCAGAGGAAACUCUGGUGGAGGCUCGUAGCGAUUCUGACGUGCAAAU
rnacentral:rRNA from 1 species